GCGGCAGUCGCAUAGCCAGGUCAUUGCGCCGGAUUGCUAAUUCGGUGGUGUUUCACCUCGUGGUUUCGAAUCCUACCUGUCGCG
rnacentral:tRNA from 1 species